GGGAAUAAUACCUAAUGAGAAUGGAUCAAAAGUAAGAUUUUCUUCUAUUCCUUUCUAAAUGACAAAUACUAGAUACAUCAUACAUCGGAACUACCAAAAUUUGGCAUUUCAGUGAAAAAGAACAGAAAGGUUCAGAAAGAAAACAAUGUCAUGCCGCAUCCUAAAACAUUGUUGUUAAGAACAACCAUUGACAUAAUACAUACAAUUUGUGUUAAUACACCAAAAUGAACAAGACUUCCAUC